rnacentral:rRNA from 1 species
GUGCACCAGUCGCGAAACCUCCGCAAUGCACGCAAGUGCGACGGGGGAACCCCAAGUGCCACUCUUAACGGGGUGGCUUUUCAGAAGUGUAAAAAGCUUCUGGAAUAAGGGCUGGGCAAGACCGGUGCCAGCCGCCGCGGUAACACCGGCAGCUCAAGUGGUAGCCGCUUUUAUUGGGCCUAAAGCGUCCGUAGCCGGUCUGAUAAGUCUCUGGUGAAAUCCCACAGCUUAACUGUGGGAAUUGCUGGAGAUACUAUCAUGACUCGAGGUCGGGAGAGGCUGGAGGUACUCCCAGGGUAGGGGUGAAAUCCUGUAAUCCUGGGAGGACCACCUGUGGCGAAGGCGUCCAGCUGGAACGAACCUGACGGUGAGGGACGAAAGCCAGGGGCGCGAACCGGAUUAGAUACCCGAGUAGUCC